ACGCUUCUUUUUCCACCGGAGCUUGCUCCACCGGAAAAAGAGGAGUGGCGAACGGGUGAGUAACACGUGGGUAACCUGCCCAUCAGAAGGGGAUAACACUUGGAAACAGGUGCUAAUACCGUAUAACAAUCGAAACCGCAUGGUUUUGAUUUGAAAGGCGCUUUCGGGUGUCGCUGAUGGAUGGACCCGCGGUGCAUUAGCUAGUUGGUGAGGUAACGGCUCACCAAGGCCACGAUGCAUAGCCGACCUGAGAGGGUGAUCGGCCACAUUGGGACUGAGACACGGCCCAAACUCCUACGGGAGGCAGCAGUAGGGAAUCUUCGGCAAUGGACGAAAGUCUGACCGAGCAACGCCGCGUGAGUGAAGAAGGUUUUCGGAUCGUAAAACUCUGUUGUUAGAGAAGAACAAGGAUGAGAGUAACUGUUCAUCCCUUGACGGUAUCUAACCAGAAAGCCACGGCUAACUACGUGCCAGCAGCCGCGGUAAUACGUAGGUGGCAAGCGUUGUCCGGAUUUAUUGGGCGUAA
rnacentral:rRNA from 1 species